rnacentral:snRNA from 1 species
AAACUGUGGGGAUCUAGCUACAACAUCUAUCACCCCAUUAAUCUCCAGGGUUGAUUUGGCUGAUGUGACUGGCUAAGUGGGUGACCCCUUCCUCCCUGACCACUCCAUGUGUGUUCCUCUGCAGCUGUGAGCUUGGUGAUGACCUUUAAUAGAGGAGGACUGUUCUUCAGUCAUGAGUAUAUAAGUAGCUGCGCUCCCCUUUGAACAAGCUCUCAAACUGGGGAUCUUCCUCCGCUCUGUAGCCUGGAUACCAGC